rnacentral:rRNA from 1 species
CAACUUUCAGCAACGGAUCUCUUGGCUCUCGCAUCGAUGAAGAACGCAGCGAAAUGCGAUAAGUAAUGUGAAUUGCAGAAUUCAGUGAAUCAUCGAAUCUUUGAACGCACCUUGCGCUCCUUGGUAUUCCGAGGAGCAUGCUUGUUUGAGUGUCAUUAA